CACUAUGAAACAAUAUUGUAUAUAGUUUAUUGACAUUAUGUAUGACGACCACAAAAACAUAACCAGCUUGUUAUAAAACUGUGUAAACUUUUCCAACAAAAAUACAUAUAUUAUGCAUAAACAAAUACAUGGAUUGAGAAUUUCUAUCUCAGUUUUUAUUGUAUACCGGUAUAUCUAACAAUUAUUCUUCUUUUGACAAAAUUAUUUAUUUUUCUCUCAUUUUGCCCACUCAUGUCAUAAAAAUAUAUGAUUUAGAUCUUCAAAAAAAUCAUUUUGCAAAUAAAAAAAUUAUCAAUGUUUCAUUCAAUUCACUUAUAAUCACUAUUGAAAUAUAUUUUUUUUUCAAAUCAAAAUAUCUAAAAAAUGCAAGUGCGUCCAUCACAAGCUUCAGGUCCGAGUACAAAAUAUAAUUAUAUGAUAUAUCAAUUCUCAUUUUAUAAUUUAUUUCAAAAGCAGGUCAUCUAUUACCUAUAAUAUAUAUCAUAAUUUUAUAAAAUUCUAGCCCAAGGACCCUUUUCACAAAAAAUAGAACAAUCAAAAUGAAUAGUAAGUUUUACUGAACAGUUUAAGACUUGCGAGUAUUUUACUUGUAAAAUGUUUUGUGAAAAGAGUCACAUACACCUUACUAUUAAUAAUAAAAAUAAAAAAAGUCCAUUAUAAUUAAACAUUCUUAUAUAAUGUAUGUUUCCUUGAUUUACAUUCAUUAGGAAUGCUUAGAGCUAUGUGUGCAAUAACAAAAAAUGUGUUCUUAGAAAAAUAAAUUGAUACACAUUUUACGGAUUUAUGUAUUGCUGUUAAACAUUUUCUAAAGCACUGCAAAGUUGAGGGAGUCACUUUUUUUCAAAUUGCAACCAAUUGAAUGGAUGUGUUUUUUCUGACUUUAUGUUUUUCGGUGCCAAAUUUGGUGUGAACUGAUAACCAAAGCUACACUUAUAUUUAAAACUUUAUUUUGAGAUUUUAUUAUAAAGUGUAUCCUCUCCUCAGGAAUUGGAAUGUAUAAUGCAAGAUCUUCAGUCCUAAAGCUAUCAGUGUUUGACUUAACCACUCAUUGGGAACUAAGAGUAUCGUGUUUUGGUGCGAACAAAUAUGUGUACUACUUCUACUGUGAACACAAAGUUUAUCAUACAAUAAAAUGCAUGAUUAGAGGUAAUGAAUAUGUGACUGUGUGUGUGGCAUGUUAAUCAACAAAUAUUUUUUGUAAGAUUUAACAAUAAAAUUAUGUACUGAUAUUCACAAGAGAUUUCUUAUAUUGAAUAUUGGCUUAUGCUACUAGAGUAAAAGAAAUAUUUAAAAAAAAAAAUUAAAAAAAGAAGACCUUUAUCAUUCUAAAAUUUAGUAAAUCAUAUUUGUUACCAUGGAAUCGCCUACUGUUCAAGACCUUAACGGGUAAAGUAGUUAAAAAUCCACUUAUACGAAGGAAUUAAAUCAUUGAAUUCAUGAACAACAGUAUAUGUAUUUACUGAGACAAUCUUUCCUAAGCUUUAAUUCACAAGUAAGUUUUAUAUCUAUAUAGCUCACAAGAUCUGUGUUCAGCUAUCCUAUAACUAAAAGAUGUAUUGCUUGAUAAAACACACAAAACAUACUAGGUCUCAAAACUACUCUAAAAGCUAUGCUUCCGAAACCGCUACAAACUACAUACAUACAAAAUGGGACUAACGAAUCUUGUUUUUUCUUAAAUAAGGUAAAAAUUCUAUUCACCACAGAAUUUUUGAAUUAUUCAUAACCAAUAAAAUGCUCUUAAUCAAAUUCUACAAUUAUCAUUUUUUCUGCAUGGUAUAAGAAAAUAACAAUUUAUAAAUUUGCUGAGUUUAAAAUGCUUUUCUGGAUUAAACUCCAACCUAAACAUUUGAAAGCUGGGAAUGCAUAAAUAGGUAAAAACUUAAUGAGCUUUCUGACCAAAGGGUCCUUAAAAGAAUAGCCAAAUAGGUUCUUAAAAUAUAUGGCUUAAUUUAGAAAAAUGUGAAGACAGUCACUAAAUGGGAAAAUGUGGUCUUGAUGUACAUGCUUAUGGGAUCAUAAAUCUAAUGUAAUAAAAGGUGUGAACCAAACACAUGAAGACCUCAUAAAUUCACUUUGGAGAUUCAGAGGUGGUGUUAAAAAUUUUAUUUUCUUAAUGAUUUGGGAUAAUACCAAAUGAGGACAUCUACAAGGUUAACGCAAAAUUUCCACACACAAAAUUAGUCAAAUUAUUAAAAAUGUUUUCAAUAUAACAUUCCCCUUUAAUUAAUAUUUUUCAGGCAUUCAUUAAAAUUUACUACUAAAGUGAAUAUCUUGAGAUCUCUUUCAAAUACAAAUAUCAACUUAUUGCACAGAAAUAACAUAAAGUGACUUGUUUUAAUAAAUCAAGGGCAAAAACUUCUAAAUGGCAAAAAUGACAAUUUCAAACUUGACCUCAAGUUUGUCAUCAGUAACAAUAUAUUAAAAUGUGAAAAGCAUUUUUUUUAGUAUUUAACAAGUUAUUGCACAGAAACGAGUUAAAGGGUGAUUUCAAAAUCAAACCAGGGACAUAAAUUCUGAACCUCAACAGUGAAAAUUGUCAAGUUAGACCUCUUUUUAUCAUCACUAAUAACAUUUUGAAGUUUGGAAAGCAUUGGUUAAACAGUUUUAAAUCAACUGAGGGGACAAGCCUUUUCCCAAAUCAAUAAUCUGAUAAACACGAUUAACAUCAAACACCCUCAAUCAAUAACCAGAUUUGGAGAAGAAAAAAACAGUUUAAAAAUUAAUAUUAACCUUGAACAAAGGUCAUUGAAAAACCUUUCUAAAUUCAUCCAAAUAUCUUUCAUAAUAUUACAUAAAUAAAUAUAUACUUCUAUACAAUAACAAUAUACACAUAAAUAUUUGCAACAGAACACUAUUUUUACCCACUGUUUUUCACACAUACACAGCACAUAGCAGCAAAAUAAUUUAUAAAAAUACCAAUAUUUACAAAGCAUAGCAAACCAUUUAUAAAUAGAACUGCUGCCUAUAUAGUUCAUGAUUAAAUUAUUAACACUAGGAAUUUCACCAGCUGUUCCCUGCCUUAUAAAACAUUUGAUAAAGAAAUAUAUAGACUGCAACCUUUGAUUUUACUUCCCGAUCAUUCCUAAUUUUUGCAUGUCAAUUCCUACCAAAUAUACUGAAAUUUUAUAUAAACUUAUAAAUUCUUUUACUUUUUUUUUUAUACAAUUAGAUCUUGAAAUAUGUUCAGCACAAUUGCUAACAAAUUAACUUAAACAGAAUUUUGAUGUCUGUGGUUGUAUCUCUAUAAACCAAACAUGAAAUAGCACAUCAUUAAAUUUAUAAUGUGUUCUAUUCUCCUGCAAAAAGGGGAUACUUUAUCAAAGUGUCUUUUGUCUUAAUUUAUAACAGGACACCUUAAUUCUUUCAUUAAAAAAUUCUAAUCAUAAAACCAUUUAUUCUUUUAUCAAAAUAGGGACAGUAACCAGCAAAUUCUUACAAAAAUUUUAAGAUGAAAAUUCUCAAUAAAAAUAAUACAACCCUUGGAAAAUAAAGACAUAUUAAGGUACCAUAAAAAUAAUAUUUAAGAUCAAGACCAAUAAUUUGAAGUUAUGGUCAUCAAGAAAGAACUUAACAAAAAUAUCAUGAUAAUAACACUACUUUCAUUUCACAUGGAUAUAUCUAUAAAUAACUUCAACAGAAGACUAACCAGACAGGAAGAGACAAUAGCAAUGCAUUUACACUGUGUAACAUCUCCGAUUUACUGUUACCACUUUUUUACUGUUAGGUUUUUCACUAAAACAGUAAAAUUACAUGACAGGGAUCCAGUAGUGAAAUACAGUACAUCAGGGCCCUUUGCCAUAAAAUUUAUUCAGUACACAAAAAACACAAUUGGUGUCUCAAACACCAACUCCUGUAUAUUGGUUGAUUUCUGAGUCUUAGUACAAUAAUUGUGCUAAAAAAAUUAUGACCACAAAGCCAGAGCAAUAUAUGUGUUUUUUUAUACUGGAUUUUUAUCAAUUAUUCCACUAUUCCAGAGAAGAAAUUUUUACUAGCAGCAAUAGAUAUCAUCAAGAGUAAAGGAACGAACACAAGUGAUAUAAAACUAUUAUAUGUAUAUGAAGCACAUGUCAACAUUUAAACAAUUACUUUUAACAAUAAAAGAAUGAAAUAUGUUUCCAUUACUUAACAGGUAUUUAUCACAAGGGAUGGUAACGUUUAAUUCAUAUAAACCUCUUAUUUAAUAAGUUAUCUUCUAAUUUAUUUGGAAGUAUUAAUACUGUUGCCUUUUUUUAAUCAAAUUAUUUCUUGCAGCAAUCAAUUAAGUUUUUUUUAUGACAAAGAGGCAUUUAUUUAAAUUUGAAUUAAAAUUGGUAAAGGAGGUUCUUAUGUCUUGAUUAUUGCAAACCAAAUAGUUUUUGUGACUUUUAUGAGUAGACAAAUACAUAUCGUCCCAAAAAUGUAAAGCUUGGAUCUUUCUUUUUAAACUUCAUCAAUUAGAUUUUAAAAUUGUGAAAUUAAAUCAGCCUUGAAAGUGCUUCACGCCAAAAUAAAGUCUCCAUGAAAAUAAGUUAACCUACACUUUACCACUAAACAUGCAUCAAGUUUGUCUUUAUCGUCAAUAUUUACUUUUUAAUUCAGUAUUAUUGUUUUGUAAUUGCACCAAAUAAUAAAAAAAUAUUGAGUAUAAAACGUGAUUGUACUAUAAAUAUUAAUUGUUAAAAAUUUGUACUAAUUUUCAAAACAAAAAAAGAUUUAACAACAAAGAAGAAUCUAACAUAUUGCACACUUUUGAAUGAUAAAUUCUAGUCCGUGAAACAGAGAAAUCUUCCAAUGACCUUUAAAGGUUGAACAACUAUAUUUUUAACAAUACACUAUUGCAGUAGUUAAUGAUAAUUUAAGCAUGGCUAUUUAUUUAUGAAAAGCGUAACAAUAUGUAGAAACUUAACAGAUAAAAAAAAAAUUUGGUUUACAAUAUUAACAACAGCCAUUUGAUAGGUCAAAGAUUACAACAAAGGUCAAAGGUCAACAAUAAAUACAAAACCUGAGUUAUGUAUACAUCACAAUUAAUAACUACACAGCACUAUAAAUGUAGGCUUCUAACAUAUUAGUACAUAACAGGCUAUUAUUUGAACUUGGAA
rnacentral:lncRNA from 1 species